ACCCUUGCUUCCUUGGCCACUAUUGAGUACAUCCCUCACCCAAAUAGGGCACGCCUGGCUCCCAUCACUAAUGUGAGUGAAAAGGGCAGGAAGCUUCUUGUGGAACUUGCCAGAGAUUCCCAACGGGUGAGUUCCAGGAAGGAGAGACGGGUUGUCAUGGAGGGUUGUAAUGAAGUUUUCCCUAGAUGCUGGUCUUGGAUCAUUUUUGCAUUGUCUCACCAAAUGGUUAAGCCCCAUGAGACAAACCAAACUGUCAAAGACAUCAAGAAGGCUAAAAAACACAGAAAACGAAAGAAGGGGAAAGCCAUUGAGAGACAGCAGGAGAAGGUUGUGGGGGCCAAGGAGAAAAAGCACAUCAAAAAGGACAAAAUCAGUCUGAGGAAGAGAUUCCUUCAAUGGCUGCUACCUAAGAUGUGCUGUAUGAGGAAGUAAUGGAGAACGGCUACACACGCACACAUACAUACAAACACACACACACACACACACACACACAUACACACAAACAUACACACACAGCACACUUGCUAUGCAUAUAUUACAUUUAUUCUUCCACUUAUAUUUGAUGGUAUAGUACAGGGGUUCCCUAACCUUUUGCUUCAGGCCCCACCUGUGCAUUUGAGUCACAGCUUGCGCCACCCUCCCGAAUCCCAUCAUACAUGCUCUUAUAUAUUGCCCUAAC
ensembl:lncRNA